rnacentral:rRNA from 1 species
UUGUCGUCAGCUCGUGUCGUGAGAUGUGGUUAAGUCCCGCAACGAGCGCAACCCCUAUUGUUAGUUGCCAUCAUUCAGUUGGGCGCUCUAGCGAGACUGCCGGUAAUAAACCGGAGGAAGGUGGGGAUGACGUCAAAUCAUCAUGCCCCUUAUGACCUGGGGCUACACACGUGCUACAAUGGUUGGUACAACGAGUUGCGAGUCGGUGACGGCGAGCUAAUCUCUUAAAGCCAAUCUCAGUUCGGAUUGUAGGCUGCAACUCGCCUACAUGAAGUCGGAAUCGCUAGUAAUCGCGGAUCAGCACGCCGCGGUGAAUACGUUCCCGGGCCUU